rnacentral:rRNA from 1 species
GAAACUCACCUCGAGAUAAGAUUUCCCAUUACGUAAGUAAGUAAGAUCCCUGAAAGAUGAUCAGGUAGAUAGGAUGGAAGUGGAAGUGCUGUGAGGCAUGGAGCGGACCAUUACUAAUCGAUCGAGGACUUAACCAAG